AUACUAGAACAAAAGUUAUUACCAAAGAAUUUUCGUCUACAAGUUUUAAAACAGAAAGUUUGUGCAACCCGUACAAGAGGAAAACAAGAUCGUAAUGAAGAAUAUUAUCAUGAUGAUGGAAAAACCAAUAAUAAAAUAUGUAUAAAAAAUAGGCAAAAAAGAAAANUAACUGUACAUAGUACACAAAAAGAUAUCAGUGAGAGAACAACUAAAGAUGAAGAAAAAGAAAACAAUAAUAUGUACAAUAAUCUACAAGAACAAUUAUGUGAUCAUCCGAAAUUUGUGAUUGCUGCGUUUAAUCGAGCAUUUUUUCAAUCUAUGCCACGUGAUAAAUAUUCUAACAAGGAAGUAAUAUGUAAAAAGAAACUUGAACCUGACAAUAAAAUGAGUAUAGAAAAUCCGGAAGUUUGCAGGUAAAUAUGUUUAAAAAUAAUUUCAUUUUUUAUGAUAAUCAAGAAAAGUAUAUCAACGUUGCUAUUACACGUCACAUAAUA